AUACGUAGGUGGCAAGCGUUAUCCGGAAUUAUUGGGCGUAAAGAGUGAGCAGGCGGUUAAUUAAGUCUGAGGUUAAAGCGUGGGGCUCAACCCCAUAAAGCCUUGGAAACUGAUUGACUAGAGUACGGGAGAAGUGAAGGGAACUCCAUGUGUAGCGGUGAAAUGCGUAGAUAUAUGGAAGAACACCAGUGGCGAAGGCGCUUCACUAGCCCGAAACUGACGCUCAGUCACGAAAGCGUGGGUAGCAAAUAGGAUUAGAUAUCCUAGUAGUCCACGCUGUAAACGAUGACAACUAAAUAUUGCCGCGAGGCAGUGUUGAAGCUAACGCAUUAAGUUGUCCGCCUGGGGAGUACGGUCGCAAGACUGAAACUUAAAGGAAUUGACGGGG
rnacentral:rRNA from 1 species